rnacentral:sRNA from 1 species
UUUGAAUUCCCACAGACGGCGCCAAAUUG